rnacentral:rRNA from 1 species
AGCGAACGCUGGCGGCAGGCCUAACACAUGCAAGACGAACGAACUCUUCGGAGUUAGUGGCGGACGGGUGAGUAACACGUGGGAACGUGCCUUUUGGUUCGGAAUAACUCAGGGAAACUUGUGCUAAUACCGAAUGUGUCCUUCGGGGGAAAGAUUUAUCGCCAUAGAGCGGCCCGCGUCUGAUUAGCUAGUUGGUGAGGUAACGGCUCACCAAGGCGACGAUCAGUAGCUGGUCUGAGAGGAUGACCAGCCACACUGGGACUGAGACACGGCCCAGACUCCUACGGGAGGCAGCAGUGGGGAAUCUUGCGCAAUGGGCGAAAGCCUGACGCAGCCAUGCCGCGUGAAUGAUGAAGGUCUUAGGAUUGUAAAAUUCUUUCACCGGGGACGAUAAUGACGGUACCCGGAGAAGAAGCCCCGGCUAACUUCGUG